AUUGAACGCUGGCGGCAUGCCUUACACAUGCAAGUCGAACGGUAACAGGGAGCUUGCUCCGCUGACGAGUGGCGAACGGGUGAGUAAUAUAUCGGAACGUGCCCUAGAGUGGGGGAUAACUAGUCGAAAGAUUAGCUAAUACCGCAUACGAUCUAAGGAUGAAAGUGGGGGAUCGCAAGACCUCAUGCUCGUGGAGCGGCCGAUAUCUGAUUAGCUAGUUGGUAGGGUAAAAGCCUACCAAGGCAUCGAUCAGUAGCUGGUCUGAGAGGACGACCAGCCACACUGGGACUGAGACACGGCCCAGACUCCUACGGGAGGCAGCAGUGGGAAUUUUGGACAAUGGGCGCAAGCCUGAUCCAGCAAUGCCGCGUGAGUGAAGAAGGCCUUCGGGUUGUAAAGACGUCUUUGUCUAGGGAAGGAAACGGGUUAGAGGCUAAUA
rnacentral:rRNA from 1 species